GGGGGGGGCGGAGCAGGUCCUGGCCCCCCGCUCCGACGGCGCGUUCCUGGUGCGGCAGCGGGUCAAGGAUUCGGGGGAAUUCGCCAUCAGCAUCAAGUACCGCGGGGAGGUGAAGCACAUCAAGGUGAUGACGGGGGAGGGGCUCUAUAGGGUCACCGACAAGAAGGUGUUCAAGGGGCUGGUGGAGCUGGUGGAGUUCUACCGGCGCAGCUCCCUCAGGGAUUGUUUCAAGGCCCUGGACACGACGCUCGUGGUGCCCUUCAAGGAGCCCGAGAGCCG